AUCCAUCUGACAAGUCCCAAAUGGGACGAAAUACUUAUCGUGGAU
rnacentral:hammerhead_ribozyme from 1 species